rnacentral:rRNA from 1 species
GACAGAGGAUGCAAGCGUUAUCCGGAAUGAUUGGGCGUAAAGCGUCUGUAGGUGGCUUUUUAAGUCCGCCGUCAAAUCCCAGGGCUCAACCCUGGACAGGCGGUGGAAACUACCAAGCUGGAGUACGGUAGGGGGCAGGAGGGAAUUUCCGGUGGAGCGGUGAAAUGCGUAGAGAUCGGAAAGAACACCAACGGCGAAAGCACUCUGCUGGGCCGAACACUGACACUGGAGAGACGAAAGCUAGGGGAGC